rnacentral:tRNA from 1 species
CAUUAUGAAGCUUUUAGCGUUAGCCUUUUAAGCUAGAGAUAGGGAAUCUAAAUCCCCAUAAUGA